AGACCUCUGGGCCCCACCCCCAGAGUUCUGAUUUCAUACUUUGGGAGUGAGGCCUGAGAAUGUGCAUUUAUAACAAGUUUCCGGGUGAUACUGAUGCUUCCAGUCUGGGGACCACACUUUGACAGCCCCAGAAUGAAUCGAAUCACAUGCAUGGAGUUCAUUCUGAGUGGUGGGGGAGGAAAGCAUUUUGGAAGAAUCAAAGCCUGAGCAGAGUUUUGAGGGAUGAAUAGGAGUUCAUUAGACAGACAAGGCAAAAGAAAGGCUACCCUAGGUAUGGGAAAAAGCAUGAACAAAGAAGCCAGAAGUAGCUUGGUGGGUCCGCAGGUGAGAAAGAUGAGCUGGCAAAUCCCAAGCAAGCGCGGCAAACGGGAUAACAGAGGAGGAGCUGCUGCUCUCCCCAAGGGAACUACCACCGACUAUACCCUCUCUGCUCAGCAGGCGUCCAUCGCACGAAGGACCAAGCAUUUCCGGAACCCCAGGCCCCAGCAGAGAGAGGGGCUGGCUGUGGAACGCCUGGGUCUCUCCUGCUCCACGUCACACGUGCGGCAAGCUGCAGCUGCACACCGUUUUUCUUUUCCUCCCAGAACAAAUUACAGGUCUUUUUUUUUUUUCUCAAGUGGCUUAGCUGAGGCCCAUAGAGCAGGUUUCUGUACUGAAUGAGGUGGAGCAGAUUUGUUGAGGAGGUAUUUGCUUCUGUGGUUUCAAGCAGUCGUUUCCAAACGCGUGGACGUCCACCCUUUGUCGAAAAGCACCUAGGUGAGGCUGAUGAGCCACGGGAUUUU
rnacentral:lncRNA from 1 species